AUCAGAAGUGCGAAUGCUGACAUAAGUAACGAUAAAGCGGGUGAAAAGCCCGCUCGCCGGAAGACCAAGGGUUCCUGUCCAACGUUAAUCGGGGCAGGGUGAGUCGACCCCUAAGGCGAGGCCGAAAGGCGUAGUCGAUGGGAAACGGGUUAAUAUUCCCGUACUUGGUGUUACUGCGAAGGGGGGACGGAGAAGGCUAUGUUGGCCGGGCGACGGUUGUCCCGGUUUAAGCGUGUAGGUGUGUGUUCCAGGUAAAUCCGGUUCACUUUAACACUGAGGCGUGACGACGAGGCACUACGGUGCUGAAGCAACAAAUGCCCUGCUUCCAGGAAAAGCCUCUAAGCAUCAGGUAACAUCAAAUCGUACCCCAAACCGACACAGGUGGUCAGGUAGAGAAUACCAAGGCGCUUGAGAGAACUCGGGUGAAGGAACUAGGCAAAAUGGUGCCGUAACUUCGGGAGAAGGCACGCUGACACGUAGGUGAAGUGAUUUACUCAUGGAGCUGAAGUCAGUCGAAGAUACCAGCUGGCUGCAACUGUUUAUUAAAAACACAGCACUGUGCAAACACGAAAGUGGACGUAUACGGUGUGACGCCUGCCCGGUGCCGGAAGGUUAAUUGAUGGGGUCAGCGCAAGCGAAGCUCCUGAUCGAAGCCCCGGUAAACGGCGGCCGUAACUAUAACGGUCCUAAGGUAGCGAAAUUCCUUGUCGGGUAAGUUCCGACCUGCACGAAUGGCGUAAUGAUGGCCAGGCUGUCUCCACCCGAGACUCAGUGAAAUUGAACUCGCUGUGAAGAUGCAGUGUACCCGCGGCAAGACGGAAAGACCCCGUGAACCUUUACUAUAGCUUGACACUGAACAUUGAGCCUUGAUGUGUAG
rnacentral:rRNA from 1 species